rnacentral:snRNA from 1 species
AAAAUUACUGGCAGAGGAGAUACCAUGAUCAUGAAGGUGGUUUUCCCAGGGUGAGGCUCAUCCAUUGCACUCUAGAUGUGCUGACCCCUGCGAUGUCCCCAAAUGUGGGAAACUGGACUGCAAAAUUUGUGGUAGUGGGGGACUGUGUUUGUGCUUUCUCCCU